rnacentral:rRNA from 1 species
UCGAGAAUUUUUCUCAAUGGGGGAAACCCUGAAGGAGCGACGCCGCGUGGAGGAUGAAGGUCUUCGGGUUGUAAACUCCUGUCAUUUGAGAACAAGGCCCCGAAAUUAACUACUUCGGGGUUGAUAGUAUCAGAAGAGGAAGAGACGGCUAACUCCGUGCCAGCAGCCGCGGUAAUACGGAGGGUGCAAGCGUUAUCCGGAUUCACUGGGUUUAAAGGGUGCGUAGGCGGAUAGGUAAGUCCGUGGUGAAAUCCUGCAGCUUAACUGCAGAACUGCCAUGGAUACUAUUUAUCUUGAAUAUCGUGGAGGUUAGCGGAAUAUGUCAUGUAGCGGUGAAAUGCUUAGAUAUGACAUAGAACACCCAUUGCGAAGGCAGCUAACUACGCGAUAAUUGACGCUGAUGCACGAAAGCGUGGGGAUCAAACAG